GCUACAACCGCUCAGCACAGGUGUUAAGUGCUUUCUUAAGCCCCCUGUGACUGGCGAGUCUUAGUUUAUU
rnacentral:sRNA from 1 species